rnacentral:rRNA from 1 species
CCUACGGGAGGCUGCAGUGGGGAAUAUUGGACAAUGGGGGCAACCCUGAUCCAGCCAUGCCGCGUGUGUGAAGAAGGCCCUCGGGUUGUAAAGCACUUUCAGUGAGGAAGAACGCCUGGUGGUUAAUACCCAUCAGGAAAGACAUCACUCACAGAAGAAGCACCGGCUAACUCCGUGCCAGCAGCCGCGGUAAUACGGAGGGUGCGAGCGUUAAUCGGAAUUACUGGGCGUAAAGCGCGCGUAGGUGGCUUGAUAAGCCGGUUGUGAAAGCCCCGGGCUCAACCUGGGAACGGCAUCCGGAACUGUCAAGCUCGAGUGCAGGAGAGGAAGGUAGAAUUCCCGGUGUAGCGGUGAAAUGCGUAGAGAUCGGGAGGAAUACCAGUGGCGAAGGCGGCCUUCUGGACUGACACUGACACUGAGGUGCGAAAGCGUGGGUAGCAAACAGGAUUAGAUACCCGAGUAGUC